UUGACAGCCUUAGAAUCUGAAAAGCCUCCAUUUAUCCACAGAAUAGGCAUUGCAAAGCUUCUUCACAUUACUUCAAACCAUUCUGUUUCAAUCCUGACCCAAAAAGGCCACUUCCAGGAGUGUGAAGGUAGGUCAGUCUCCAUGCCCAUUCAGUGUUUAUUUUAU
rnacentral:sRNA from 1 species